GCCUCGGUAGCUCAGUCGGUAAGCUUUCUUUCGAAAAGAAAGCUUGCAAAGAAACCGGAAGGAAGCUCGACAGAGAGCGUUGCCUUGGUAAGGCAAAGGUCGCGAGUUCAAUUCUCGCCCGGGGCU
rnacentral:tRNA from 1 species